rfam:Aedes aegypti strain Liverpool supercont1.350 genomic scaffold, whole genome shotgun sequence.
CGUCUCAUGGCGUAGUGGUUAACGCGCCCCAACUAGAGAUCGGGGAGUAGUGAGUUCGAUUCUCACUGAGAAGA